GACCAUGUGGCAAGGCGUCUGACUUCGGAUCAGAAGAUUGAGGGUUCAAGUCCCUUCGUGGUUG
rnacentral:tRNA from 1 species